AGACAGUUGACCAGACAGUUGACCGCACCACCCCAACUUUCCUUCACCAAGAAUUAGAUGACGAGGGCUGUGACAAGCCUUUUUCGCCCCACUCUCCUCUACAGUCCCUCCGCAACAAUCAGACAACUACUUCAUUUUAAGGAUACUAGCGGCUGCCUCUACGGGCUAAGUCUGUAGCAGGAGAGGUAGUGGACAAGCCACUGCUGUUCAAGACCUGUAAGACAGAUGUGCGGCAGCCUAUUAGGAACAGAUUUAGGUUUUUAGAUUUUGUAGUUGUUAGUAAAUAGUAAAUUUAAGGGGGAUCUGUUAUGGACGUAAAAUAGCAUUAGUAAAAUGUCUAUUUACUUUGCACACCUGUAUUCAAUUUUUACUCAAAAUGGC